GGAAUGUAUGAGCCAGAAUAAAUGGAACCCUGUCCAAGGCAGGUGUGGAAAUGCAGGCUCACAAUUGGGCAAAGUCUUUAACUUCAGUGAGCCUUGGCCACCUCUGGGAAACGACCUCACGAUGUCUCUCUGGGGCUUGGGAAUCUGGUACACUGCCAUGCACAUCUCAGAAACUGUUAACAUUAUUAAAUGAUGCCUUUAUACUCUCUAUCCUCACCCUAUCCUUCCACAGCCAGUGAGUUAGGUCUUUUCACUGCAACAAAUAUUCUAUCAACUCCAAGGGGGAAAUGGGGCACCCAAUGUGGUGGAAAGGUCCACCUCACCUGUCCCUCAUUGGACUGAGGGCUUGGUCUCAUGGAUGGAAGUCCAGAUGGCCAAGGGCAGGCACCUUGGGCAAGGCUCCAUCCUGCAUCAUUCCUUGAGAGUGGGCGGCAAGGCUACAGUGCUGACCAUCUGGGGCACUGGGGGCAGCUUGGCAGUCCUGGUGACUAAGACACCCUCUAGUAGGGAAGGAAGGGAAUGGGAGUGCCGGGAUGCUGCAUCACAGGUCUAGCGAUAUAACCACUCCUCAAAGCAAGUGUUAAGACCAGCAGGACUUCUGGGUCCUCAGUCAUUUGCUUGACAUCUACACAGCCAUGUGCACAGGCUGGCUGGCUCUCACCCUCCUGUCUGUGCUGAGCCUGGGUACCCAGGCCUUCAACAGCUGGCUUGUCAAGUGCUUUGAGGACCCCCCAGUAUGAAGAGAUGCUGUGGCUGGCCCAAGACAGGCUGGGGCAGACAGCAGAAAGGAAACAGAUAGUGGUGAUUGGGCGGGCAUGGCAGGGCUCACCGCUGCCAAGACCCUGCAGGACGCUGGCCACCAGGUACAUGAUAGGGUGUGGGAGGGUCCUGCAUGGGGAACCUGGGAGAGAGGGAAGUGGACAGCCUCAGAGAGCUGGGGCAGGGGACUGGGUCUAGGGCUCUAGGUGGGGGUAGAAGGGCUAGGAGAACUGGGUGGUCUGCCUGUAUAACAAAGGGAGACCUGGGGAAGAGGCAGGAGGGCUGUGGGAGCUAGGUCUGCUAGGAGGGGAUGUGUCCAGCCUCACUGAGGUCAGGAAAGUGCUGUCUUUCUAGGUGACUGUCCUGGAGGCCUCAGGGCAUGUGUGGGUGGCAGAAUAGAGACCCACAGAAUGCCUGGAGCACAAUGGUAUGUGGAGCUGGGAGCCAUGAGGAUUCCCGCCAACCACAGGUGGUGGAGGAGCUGAAAAGCAGUAGCUGCAGCCAGGUGCUGGAGAAGUACGACUCCUUCUCCACCAAGGUUUGAUGAAAUCGCUGGGGGCUUUGACCAGCUCCCCCAGGCCCUGCAUGCUGCCCUCUUGCCCGGGACGGUCCAGCUCCACUCGCCAGCAGAGGAGGUUGAGUCGUACGGAGACCACAUCCACAUCACCUACCGAAUGCCUGACCCUCUGCAGACCAGGGCACGUCUCACCGCCGAUUACCUGAUUUUAGCCACCACAGCCAAGGCUGCCUGACUCCUCUGUUUCAGGCCACCUGUCUCCCAUGGCAACUAGGACGCACUGCGAUCCGUCCACUACAGCAGUGCCACCAAAGUGAUCCUGACCUGCACGCAGCAUUUCUGGGAGCACAAAGGCAUCUUAGGGGGAAAGUCCAGCACCGACCAGCCUUCUCUUCAUCUUCUAUGCCAACCACAUCUUCCCCAACGGAACAGGGGUCAUCCUGGCCUCCUAUACCCUGGACGAUGACUCCUAUUUCUUCGCUGUCAUGGACGUGCCCGGGCAAUUGAUAUUGUCCUGGACGACCUGGCAGUAGUCCAUGAUCUCCCCAAGGAGGAGGUGUGGGCCCUGUGCCCCUUUUCCACGGUCAAGCAUUGGAGCCAGGACCCCUACUCCAUGGGUGGCUUUGCCUCCUUCACUCCCCACCAAUAUGUGAACUAUGCCCAGGAACUCUGCAAGCCAGAAGGACAGGUCCACUUUGCUGGGGAGCACGCAACCCUGCCCCCCAGCUGGAUUGACACAGCAAUCAAAUCAGGGCUCAGGGCAGCACAGAACAUCCAAGAGGCUGUGGGCAUGGCUUUGACCAAGGACCCCAGAGACCCAAAAGAACCCCACUCCAAAAUGGGGCUAUAGCUACACCUGAAACACAAUACCGUAAAUCAACGAUACUUCAAUUAAAAAGAAAAUGGAGCUAUAGCCAACUUUACGACAGCAGGAAUUGGAGUAACUCUGGUCACCAUGGUCCACCAGGAAAAGUCUCAAAAUCCACUCUCUCACUUUAUCUCCACCUUUUUCCAAAGACGCCAACCAAGAGGUGCCACAUAAGGCCAAGGAACAGAGUCCAUCUAAUAUUUGGCCACCCAUGACCUUGGAUUUAUUGGCAAUGUCUCAACAACAACAACGUGUGAUAUAGUGAUUAAAACAGUAAAGCAUUCGUUAAGUUUAAGGCUAUCACUAAGUGUUUUACCUAC